ensembl:snRNA U6 U6 spliceosomal RNA
GUGCUUGCUUCAGCAGCACAUGUACUAAAACUGAAAUGAUACAGAGAUUAGCACAGUCCCUGCACAAUGAUGACAUGAGAGUCCAUGAAGCAUUCCAUAGUUUU